AUGGAAUCAGUAGAGAGAGCAUUUGGAUGCCCGAGAGGCGCCUUCCCAUGCAAAUACCUUGGUCUGCCGCUCACCCUGAGAAAACAGUCACAUCUACAGUUAUCAGGCCUUGUGGACCAACUAGCAACGGCAUUGCCAAAAUGGAAAGCAGCAAGGAUGCCAAAGAGUGGAAGAAUGCUUCUUAUUCAAUCUGUACUCUGUGCAAUUCCGCUGCACGCGAUGAUGGCGCUCGACCUCCCACAGAAGACAAUUUCAGCAAUGAACAGAAUAUGCCGCAGCUUCUUAUGGUGCGCUGAGUCAAGCUCGUCUGGCGGAAACUGCACAGUCGCUUGGGAGGCUGUGUGUGCCCCCAAAUGGGCGGGUGGAUUAGGCAUACCCAACCUAGGAUGGAUGAACAAAGCUGUGCAGGCCAGGUGGCCUUGGUUACAGAGAUCAGACACAUCGCGACCAUGGGCAGAAUUUGACAUCACAGUACCAAAAGCUUCAAGACAACUCUUCAACGCGGCUGCUCGCUGGGUUCUCGGCGACGGAAAUACAAUAUUCUUUUGGGAAGAUAGAUGGCUCGAAGGACACCGGAUCGUGGAGAUGGCCCCCUUGACCUAUGGCCGAGUCAGGAAGAAAACGAGGAACUCAUGCACCAUAGCCCAGGCCCUACGGAAUGACGGUUGGGUCGCCCAAGUAAGCCCGGAGGUAUCAACUGACUCGCUAAGGGAAUAUCUACAGCUAUGGAACAUGAUCCAAGAACUUCAACUUGACCCAACGCAACAUGAUACCAUCACUUGGUCAUGGGAAGCAAGCGGAUGCUAUUCAGCAAGGACUGCCUAUGCAGCCAAAUUCUGGGGCAGGCAAGUCGUCCCCACGGCCGAAUUCACUUGGAAAUCUAGAGCACCGGCGCCCUGCCGCUUCUUCACAUGGCUGGCAAUCCAGGAUAGGUGCUGGACGUCUGAUCGGCUGGCAAGACGAGGGCUCGAUCAUCAGGAUUGCUGCCCAAUGUGCAGCCAAGAAGAGGAGAGCAUAAACCACAUUUUGCUCCAGUGUGUCGUCGCGCGGGAAGUGUGGACCGCGAUCUGUCAUCCCCUACGCAGACCGGAAUGGAUACCUACUGUGAAUGAAAGCCUCGGUGCAUGGUGCCAAGACAAGAGAGGAAGAGGAAAGGCCGGCAGGGAUGCAAAUGCAAUCAUCAUCCUAGGGCUCUGGCAAAUAUGGAAGCACCGCAACUCGAUUGUCUUCGACGGAGCUACACCUUCAAAGAACAGGAUUAUCCAUGCAGUCGUAAGAAAAGGCCAUGUAUGGAAGAAGGCGGGCAUACUACAAGGAGACAUGGACGCCUUCUUUGCAGAGGUGGAGGAGUGGGCAGCGGAGAGUAGAUAG
rnacentral:rRNA from 1 species